rnacentral:rRNA from 1 species
AGUGAACGCUGGCGGCGUGCCUAAUACAUGCAAGUCGAACGGAGUGGCGCACGGGUGAGUAAUAUAUAGCUAAUCUGCCCCUUGCUGGAGGACAACAGUUAGAAAUGACUGCUAAUACUCCAUAGCAAGGGAUGAGACUAUAUCGUAUCAGCUAGUCGGUGGGGUAACGGCCUACCGAGGGUAUGACGCGUAACUGGUCUGAGAGGAUGAUCAGUCACCUUGGAACUGAGACACGGGCGAAACACCUACGGGAGGCGGCAGUAGGCAAUAUUGCGCAAGGGGGGAAUCCGUGACGGAGCAACGCGGCGUGGAGGAUGACACUUUUCGGAGCGGAAAGUCCUUUUGUUAGCGAUGCGGUACCUAACGAAUAAGCACCGGCUAACUCCGUGCCAGCCGCCGCGGUAAUUC